ACAUGCCUACUACAUAGCAUUAAUGCACCAGAUCCCAUUAGAACUCCGUAGUUAAGCAUGCUCUGGAUAGAGUAGUACUGGGAUGGGUGACUGCCUAGAAAUUCUUACUAUUUUACAUGCC
rnacentral:rRNA from 1 species